CAACCUGUCCGGCAUCAAACAAAUUGUGAGUGUCAGUGGGUUAUACUCACUGUGUUUACUCUGAUCCCUGUCAUGUCUCUGUGUCUCUGAUCUCAAGGCUGAACAGUAACAGUCUGACCGAUGUCUGCACUGAUGAUCUGGUCUCCGCUCUCAGUACAAACCGCUCACUGAGGUUCCUGAACCUGGAGUCUAACACCUUCACAGACGGCUCUGUACCCGCUCUCCGCCGCCUCAUACAGACCUGCACCAGUCUGGAGGGGAUCUGGCUUUUGGAGAAUAGGUUCAGUUCAGACGGAGAGAAUCAGUUGGAGUCACUGCGGGGAAUCAGACCUGGACUGUCAGUGUCAGUGUGACACUGACUGAGGCAGUGACUGUCCACACAGUCUGGGUAAUAUGGAAUGUAUUCUGGACACUGUAGUGACUGAUUAUUAAAGAUGUUGAUCCUGA